GCUGGUGUGGCUCAGUGGUAGAGCGUUGGCUAGCACACCAAAGGGUCACAGGUUCGAUUCCUGGUCAAGGGCA
rfam:Myotis lucifugus cont2.70211, whole genome shotgun sequence.